GGAUUGGAUUAACAGGACCAAGGCUAUCUUCUUCUACUUGUUUUACACACUCAUGUGACGUGUCUCUGAUGAUUUCCACUCUCAAAUCCUUGUUCAACAAAGUAGCUUCCCAUUUUGCUCUUCUUGCGUCGGUUAUGGUUUUGAUGUUUGUGUUGUUCAACAAUGUCACUAUACUGUGUGGAGUGUGCAAUAUGAUAGUUUGUGCUCCUAUCAGAUUCUCAACAGCAUCCACUGCCCAUGUGGCACCAUCGAGAGCUUGUAUACAUCGUGGUUGCCCAAUCAUAGUGACAGGAAUCUUUGUGGAAAAGUAUCCAACUGGUCUGUAUCGAUCACCUGGUUUUUGACACAGUACUGCUGAAUACGUCUCAUCUCCUACACUGGUCCACAAAUGAAACGGCAAUCGUCCAUCGGGAAGUCCCAAAGCUGGAGCUGAAGUCAGUUUUUCUUUCAUAGAAGUAAACGCUUCCUCAGCUUCUGGUGUCCAGUUAAUCUGUUCCACUCCCGGCUUUCCUCCCUUGUACAGGUCAAUGAGAGGGCUGGUGAUGCUAGCAAAAUCGGGUAUAUACUGACGACAAUAGUUGAAAAGUCCCAUCACCUUUCGCAUUCCUGUAACUGUUAGAGGUUUUGGAAGUUGUCGUAAUGCUUCUACACGCUCUGUUGUCAUUCUCCUUCCCUCCAUAGAUAUUUCUUGGCCCAAAUAGAUAACUUUGGAUUUGGCCAGCUGUGCUUUGUCGGGGUUAACUUUAAAUCCCCCUUUCCUAAGGGCUUGUAGGACAACAUUCAGAGCAAAUAUAUGGCUUCUUUCAUCUGGGCUUGCAAUCAACAAGUCAUCAACAUAUUGGAGGCAGACACUUCCUGAUUUCUCAAUUUCAGCUUUUUGUUCCGUUAAGAACUGGUUCAAAGCUCUAUGAAAUACAACAGGAGAAAUAUUAAGACCUUGUGGGAGUCUGUUCCAGACAUAUUGUUUUGCGCCUACUGUAAAGGCUAAUUUCUCUUGAGAUCUUUUGUCUAUAGGUAUAGACCAGAAAGCAGACAGUACA